CCAAUCGGUCUUCUUCUCAAAAAGGAAGCAGCCAUUUCCAUGGCUUUUUGUUAACAAAAAAACGACACCCCCAUCUUCUUUUUGAGCGCGUCAGCCGUUUCUGAUCUUGACACACUCACCCUAAGCAUCAUCUUCACACCAUUCAUAACCUUAAGACCUUCACCUUCUUCUCCAUCAAAGAUUAAACCAACAGGCCCCUGUUCUUAAACACAAAAAAUCGAAAAGGAACCCCAGCUGUUUCCUAUCGUCUUCUAUAAUGAAUGACAAAAGACAAAAGAACCUAGAGAUAUAAGUUGAAAAAAAAGGUCCAGGGGUCAUUAGAAGGAGGGUUGUUCUUUUAAUUUUCUGGACAACUUCAAAAGUAUUUCAUCGAUUUUGCUUUCUGAUUUUAGUCUUGAUCGGAAUAAUCGAAAAUUCUCAAAGAAGAUUAGAGUUUCUUUUAGUUUAUUCUUUCAAUUUCCAAAAGAGAAAACUCCAAAAAUUAUUAGUUUCUUAAUCUGGUUUUCAACUAUGGAUUGCCUCUGAGGUGUAGCCGACGGUCGAUUUGCUUCAGUUGCUGGUUCGAGUUUUUUUCUGGUUCGUUGCAGAUUCAUUUGUCGCUGUUUCUUUCGUUUCUAUUCGAAUUUGUCGACAUCAAAGUUAAUCAAAAGCUGUAAUUUCAGGUUCAUCUGCGAUUCUUUCUCUUUUUUAAUUUUUGGUGUUAUUAACGUAUGUUAAGAGCCAUAAUUAAUUAAAUUAGGAAGUGUUUGAAAGUGGGUUUAGAGGGAAUCAGUUGUUAAAUGGCUUAAGUGAAUUUUUGGGCAGCAUAUGCAUUUGUUUCAGUGUCCUACUCUUUCACCGUGUCUUCCAUGAGUCAGGUUUUUGUUUUGAUAAAUUGAGUACGUUGAUUAUAGGUUGAUAAGCCUUUGUUUGGUAAAG
rnacentral:lncRNA from 1 species